CUCCUGACUCUCCCAGCACAGAAGGGCACCUGCUUUUCCCUUUCCGAAAGCCACCCACCCAGGCUGGCCCCACAACCUUCAGAGUCCUUUCCCCGACUGCACAAUAAUGAACCAUGCAAGUGUUAGAAAUAUAAUAAGCUCAGGAGGCAAAGAGCUGUGUGUAUGGAAUCGUAUUAGCAUUAAGCACACUGACGCAGGAGGAAAGAGGAGGCUCCGCUGAUUGAAACUAUCAUGUCUCCAUGCACUAGACGUUUUGCACAAUGGGACAACCUCAUAAUCUGGUGACAUCAUGAACCCGGUGGACCGACAGAUAAAUAUCUUCAAUAAAAGAAAAGCUGGAAUGCCAAAGAACCAGCUAUGAAGUAAUCUGGAAAGAUGUGGAGGCCUGCCCAGCAGAGACAGCUGGACACUGCCGACAAAUCAAUCCACUCUCAGAAGAAGCAAUGCUCCAUAGCUAGUCUCAUUUCAUCUGAAAACGCACGAAGUCACUAAUGUCAGCUUUCAGAUUUGCGACUGAAUCAAAGUCAUCACUACAAGGUUGGUGUUUUUUGGGGGGAGAGAGGCAGGGGUACAUGGAGAAGUGGACAAUAAGGAUGUAUUAAAAACACAGACAAGGUGUGUUGGUGGGGGGGGGGUGCUUCCAAGAAACGAAGCUGAGAUGAACCACCGCAUGCCACGGAAAUACCAGGACAAGUGGACGUCGGAGUGUUUAACCAGAUUCUAAGCCAGAAACAUCUUCCCCAGCGGGGGAACCCUAGGACAAGGCAGUGACACGCAACCCUCAGCCUUUGAACCCAGACCUGGCAGCUCAGGAACGCGUUCCCCCCCCCCCUUCCCCAGGCAGUCACAGGCUCCGGCUGAAAAAGCGGGGUGGGGGUAGGGAUGAGAGGGCCCUGCGAAGAAACACAAUAAACAACUCAAAUAUGAACGGAAAUG
rnacentral:lncRNA from 1 species